UACAGGGGGGUGCAAGCGUUGCUCGGAAUCACUGGGCGUAAAGGGCGCGUAGGCGGCUUAUCAAGUCGGGGGUGAAAGCCCGUGGCUCAACCACGGAAUGGCCCUUCGAUACUGGUAGGCUUGAGACCGGAAGAGGACAGCGGAACUGCGAGUGUAGAGGUGAAAUUCGUAGAUAUUCGCAAGAACACCAGUGGCGAAGGCGGCUGUCUGGUCCGGUUCUGACGCUGAGGCGCGAAAGCGUGGGGAGCAAACAGG
rnacentral:rRNA from 1 species